AUGUGGCCAGAAGUUCAGACAUGGGAGAUUUUAUCCCCUAUGUACAAGAAAGGUCCACGAAAACUAAGAAAGUUAAGGAUAAGGGAGUGUGGUGAAGAGGGUGCUAGAAGGAGGAGAUUUCCAGGUGUUUCUUACAGAUGCACUAAGUGUGACAAAUUUGGUCACAAUGCUCAAACAUGUAAAAGUACAACACAAGAUCCUAAUGAACUAAAGAGAAAGAGGAAGGUCAAGGUAGGUACAACCAUACAACCUGAUGAUGUUCAACAAGCUGGCGCAUCUGAUGCAACUGAGGCACCAAUACAAUCUGAUGCAACUGAGGCACCGAUACAAACUGAUGCAACUGAGGCACCAAUACAAACAGGUGAAAAUCAAACUGAAGCAACUGAACCAAUUGACUAUUUUGGAGACAUAACUUAUGAUAUCAUUUCAAGCAUUCCU